UUAAGUUCAGCGGGUAGUCCUACCUGAUUUGAGAUCGAACGUUCAAAAAGCCGUCUUCGCCGAGGAGAGACAUUUGUGAGCUCCAGAGCGAACCUCCGUCGCCGAAGGUUACCCGGCGGACGACCCGCAAGCGUAGAUUAGUUAUCACGCCCAUGACCGCCCACCAAACACUGGAAAGCUGAUUCAUUUGAGAGGAGCAG
rnacentral:misc_RNA from 1 species